GAUGAACGCUAGCUACAGGCUUAACACAUGCAAGUCGAGGGGUAACGAGAGGGAAGCUUGCUUUCCUUGUCGACGACCGGCGCACGGGUGAGUAACGCGUAUCCAACCUGCCCCCAACUAGGGAAUAACCUUGCGAAAGUAAGACUAAUACCCUAUAAUUUCCUCAGAUGACAUCUGACGAGGAAUAAAGAUUUAUCGGUUGUGGAUGGGGAUGCGUCUGAUUAGCUUGUUGGCGGGGUAACCGCCCACCAAGGCAACGAUCAGUAGGGGUUCUGAGAGGAAAGGCCCCCACAUUGGAACUGAGACACGGUCCAAACUCCUACGGGAGGCAGCAGUGAGGAAUAUUGGUCAAUCGGCGGAAGCCUGAACCAGCCAAGUAGCGUGCAGGAUGACGGCCCUAUGGGUUGUAAACUGCUUUUAUACAGGAAUAAAGUUAGCCACGUGUGGUUAUUUGUAGGUACUGUAUGAAUAAGGACCGGCUAAUUCCGUGCCAGCAGCCGCCGCAG
rnacentral:rRNA from 1 species